rnacentral:rRNA from 1 species
GUAAUGCUCUAUAUGCCUUUAAGACAUAAGUCUGCAAGGGAAAUAUUUAUAGCUUUGGGAUGAGACUGUACGGUAUCAGCUUGUUGGUGAGGUAAUGGCUCACCAAGGCUAUGACAUCUAACUGGUUUGAGAGGAUGAUCAGUCACACUGGAACUGAGACACGGUCCAGACUCCUACGGGAGGCAGCANUGCNGAANAUUGCACAAUGGACGAAAGUCUGAUGCAGCAACGCCGCGUGGAGGAUGACACAUUUCGGUGCGUAAACUCCUUUUAUAUGAGAAGAUAAUGACGGUAUCAUAUGAAUAAGCACCGGCUAACUUCGUGCCAGCAGCCGCGGUAAUACGAGGGGUGCAAGCGUUACUCGGAAUCAC